AGAGCUUUGGAAGGGUCCCUCUGAAACUUAUUGGGAUUGAUUUUGCUGCUUCACUGGGUUAUUACUGACAAACUCUGGACAACUGCUCCCCAGGAACACACCCAUCCGGCAGAGUUCAAUCUUUGGAGACUUAAAGUGCUCACUCAAAUGCACGGAACAAGAG